rnacentral:rRNA from 1 species
UACGGAGGGUGCAAGCGUUAAUCGGAAUUACUGGGCGUAAAGCGCGCGUAGGUGGUUUGAUAAGCGAGAUGUGAAAGCCCCGGGCUUAACCUGGGAACGGCAUUUCGAACUGUCAGGCUAGAGUGUGGUAGAGGGUAGUGGAAUUUCCUGUGUAGCGGUGAAAUGCGUAGAUAUAGGAAGGAACACCAGUGGCGAAGGCGGCUACCUGGACCAACACUGACACUGAGGUGCGAAAGCGUGGGGAGCAAACAGGAUUAGAUACC